UACGAAGGGUGCAAACGUUGCUCGGAAUUAUUGGGCGUAAAGCGCACGUAGGCGGCUUAGCAAGUCGGAAGUGAAAUCCCUCGGCUCAACCAAGGAAGUGCUUUCGAAACUGCUGAGCUUGAGUACUUAAGAGGAUCGCGGAAUUCCCGGUGUAGAGGUGAAAUUCGUAGAUAUCGGGAGGAACACCAGUGGCGAAGGCGGCGAUCUGGGAAGAUACUGACGCUGAGGUGCGAAAGCGUGGGGGAGCAAACAGG
rnacentral:rRNA from 1 species